rnacentral:lncRNA from 1 species
UUGUCUGGAGAUAUGCCCAAGAGUGGGAUUGCUGCCUCAUAUGGUAGUUCUAUGUAUAGUUUUCUAAGUUACCUCCAUACUGUUCUCCAUAGUGGUUGUACCAGCUUACAUUCCCACCAACGCGCAGGAGGGUUCCCUUUUCUCCACACCUCCUCUAGCAUUUUUUGUUGGUGGACUUAUUAAUUAUGGCCAUUCUGACUGGUGUGAGGUGGUAUCUCAUGGUAGUUUUGAUUUUCAUUUCUCUAAUAAUCAAUAGAUUCAGACUACUGGCUUUGGAAUGGACUAGCAAUGAGAUCCUGCUGUGUAGCAGUGGGAACUAUGUCUAGUCACUUAUGAUGGAGCAUGAUAAUGUGAGAAAAAAGAAUGUAUACAUGUAUGUGUAACUGGGUCACCAUGCUAUACAGUAGAAAAAAAUAAUGUAUUGCAGAAUAAAAGAAGCUGAUAGUCAAUAAUAAAUAUGUAUUAUUUCUAUACAAUAAUCAUAUUCAGAAGAAAUUAGUUAUUAUAGUUAUAAAGGAAACAUUAAUUCUAAAUCAUUGAUUAAGAACACAUUGCUGACCUUUUUGCACAGUUUCAUGAACUAUCAGCAUUACCUUGUUACUUUUAUUGCUUGAAAGCUUACAUGUGCACACACACAUGUACGUGCGUGCACACACACACACACACAGCUUCUGUUCUGAGGUACCAUGGGAGUAACUUAUUGUAGGUUCCCAGGCCAGGGACUGAACACACGCCACAGCUGUAACUAGAGCCACAGCAGUGACACAGCCAGAUCCUUAACCCAUUGAGCCAUGAGGGAACUCCAAGAGUCACUGAUCUUAUUGCUUCCCUUUGCAGAUGGGACAGUUCAGAGGGGAGAAACAUGUUGUCCAGGGUCCUGAUGUUGUCAGGGACAGAACUAGAGGUGAUCUUUUGACUGCUGUCCAUGUCUUUUCCAUGUGAUUAUGUUGCCUCAUCCAGGAUUUUUGGUCAGGGUCAAUUUGUUGUCCCCUUUGCUAUGAAAUCUCUAAAAUAUUAUUAGGAUGCAUCCCCAUGCCAACUAGCAGCUGCUUUCUGGAAGCAGCAUGUGAAUGCAACACUGGAUCCUAUGGAGGAAAAUGUUUCACUGUGGUUGGAAGUCUUUUCUACACUCUUUCCACCCACCUAUAUUUACAUCUCCAGCAUUCUUAACUGAAUUACAGGCAAAUGCUUCAUUACAGAGGCUCAGCUAGGAGGAUAUGCCCUGGGGAGUUUAUUCACAGACAAAUGUAUUAUUCACAAGCUUGAUCUGAUCAUACAGAAUUUUCGCUAUAACCACACGCCCUGAGGAAAUUCCUUUCAUAAACCUAAAUGAUUAGACUUAAAAGAAUGGUGUGGAAGAACAGAGGAAGUGUAGCUAUGCACUGGAAGGGGUGGAAGGAGGUGGAGCUCUUGGCGGUCUGCAUUUAGGAAGCCCACAGAGGAGCUGGUUCUAAGCCUCCUCCCAGUCAUUUCCUCUUCUAAGACACUAUUUUCUUCUCUUUGUAGAGCCUUCUUUUGACAGUUUUGAAGGGAGGAGGGAAUGUUGAAUUAAGUAGAGUUGGUGAAUUAUUUUAAUGAUGGUUUCUAUGACAACGAGACAAAUACUUUCCACAUACUUUGUGUUUCAAGCAAGGAGACAUUAGGCAAAUACUUUUACUGAAUAGUGAAUGUGGUAAAAACAAAGCAAAACAAAACAAACUCUAUAGGCAUUUAGUUACUAUCAGGUACCACAGAUUUGUGCAGUAUGAUUCUACCCGCUGGUAAAAGUUGUUCUACUUAGAUUUAAGGUCAAUAUCUUAGUAGCAUGAAAGUCCCUAGCAUUCCUUGACCCAGCAAUUUUAACCUUAAAUUGUACCUUUAAUUGGAUCUCCCUAGUUUCCUCCUGAGAUAGGUUAUAACUUUGCCCAUAAUAUCCUAGAAGAAUGCUUGUUUUCUUUUAAUUCUUACAUAUGCAGGUUUCCCUGAGGUCAUUCUGGAAGUCUUGCCCUGGCUCUAACUGACCAGCUUUAACUGACAGACCAGCUACAUAAAUGGCACAUUUUUGUGUUGAGUAUUGGUCAGCAGAACUCAGUGCAAUUGAUACUCCUACUUCCAAUUCCAGCUCUGCAGAGAAAAACCCAUCUAUUAUUAAAAAUCCUAUUAGUACUGGGAAGAUGGCACUGUUCUCUCUCAUUGUAGCUGCUGAGUGUUAUCUAAUUGGUUUUUAUUACUUCGAAACCUUGGGAGUGUAGAGCUCAAAUGCACAUUUGCUAACAGUUGUGUUCUUUCCUGUUGUACUCAUUGGAAAUGCUUUUAGAUCAUUUAGAUUUUGUCAGCAAGAAAGAGGGAGAACACUAGAGAGCAUUUUGGAGAGUACCUGAAAAAAAACUACAGACCCCAGGAUAAGGUUUACUGUGGCUACUAUCAGACUCAAUACAUGAAUGCAUAUCACAUAUGUGGCUUUUUCCAUUAUUAUCUGUACUGCCGAGAGUAUGUUUGUUUCCAGCUUUACAGCAGUAUUAAUUUUUCAUGUGAAUGCUCUUGCUCAUUUGUGAUAAUUUGGUCUUAUUUUAUUUUUAAUUGGUAACAAACUCAUUUUUCUAUUACUAUCAGUUCUUUUAAAUGAUAGAGAAUUCAUUGAUGUUGUUAUAUGCUCAUACUUGCCAUGUCCAGGAUGUCUUCUUCAGACUUAUAUGUGAUAUUAGAAAAGAUGGAUCCUUUGCCCACCGCAGUGAUUACUGUCCCCUUCACAUUUUUUUUUCCCCUUGAGAGGUACUGUGGUUCAUGCUUGAAAUACUAACAAUUAUUAUUAAUAGUAGCUAAUAGUAGCCACAGCAGUAGCAUCAGUAUUUUCUCUGAUGAUAUUUUUUCUUCAUUUUUUCAAAGCACUUUGCUGCUUUUCUUUAAAUACUUUGAGCCAGUGUAAACCUUCCCAACCACCCUUGUUUUUAUGAAUCCCAUCCUAGGCAUCAAGGCUUUGAUUUGUGAGUGUUCUCCUUAUGUGUCAUUUAGUGUACUGUCUCCUUCCUUUAUGGCUCCAAGAAACGGGUUCCAUUUUAUCUCCACACUGAAAUGGAGUUCUUUAAAAUGGCACUCAGCACUUGCAUUCAGGUCGCAUUUUUUUAUUUUUUCUUGGUCUCUACCUUGCCUUUAACAAUGUGCUUCUCAUUGUGUGAUCAUAACAGCAGAAUUUUUUGAACACUUCCUCGGUACCAAGUACUGUUCUAAUCACUUUAAUCAUACAGUCAAGUCACCAUUCUCACAAUAUCCUAUACUGUGAAGAGUACUGUGCUUCCGGUUUACAGACAAGGACAUUGAGACAGAUGAGAUGAAGUCACUUGUCCUAAUUGCCCACUUCCCGGGGAGCUCAGGCUCCACCCUGAUGGUCUCCUAAGUCCGCAUACUCUGCAUUUGGCCAUGCUGCGGUGCCACCUCUUGGAAUGCCCCCUGGCUUGUCAUCUGUGCUGUCCUUGCCUCUCACACCUCUCAGACCAAAUUCCAUUGAGCACCUACUGAUUGAGUGCCCAGCAGGGGCCAACCAGCUCCUGUUCUCCUUCAGUCUCCUCUUGUCCCCUUACCCAUUAAUGGAAUUCAGAGGGAUAGAUAAAGGCCAAAAUUAUGCUCUGGCUUUUCAGGUCUGGGAGCUCUUUUCCAGAUGGGAAGAAGGGCCGUCCAACUGAGAAGCAGCACCGACAGCCUUUCCCACCUCCUGAUUAUUAAUGAUUCACUGGGAUCCUCUCAAUGCCCCCAUCUCAUCAUCAUAAAUUUAUGCAAUUGCUCCCUUUUCUUUGACCUCUAAGUCUAAUCAGUUACUAAAUGUUACUGAUCUCCCCCUUUACAGUCCAUUUCCACAGCCAUAACUCUACCCUAGGCUCUAAUCACUUUGUUUCUGAAUUACAGUAAUGGGUCUAGGUGGCCUUUGCUCCCCCAGGUUCUGUCCAUUACAAACCAGUUGCCCACAAUCAUUUGCACUGUCCCCCAGAGCACUUCCAGUCAUCGUUUGUGACCUGGAUCAAAUGCUAAUGCCUCCCCAAAGCCUUCAGAGAUCACUCUGUGGUUGAUUACCGCUCACCCCUACAUCUUUGGUACCAUCAAAUAAUAUGUACAUGUUUUUCACUGCACUGCACCUGAAUCCCUAUGGUCUGGACUAUCUGUUACUUACUUUUGCAUACAUAAUAUCUGACAUUGUGUCUGGUACACAAUUUUGUGUAGUUAAUAUAAGAAUGAAUGUACAGUUGAGUGCAGAAAUGAAAAAAUCCACCAAUAAAUAAAUAUAAGAAAAAUGAUGACUCUGCAGGGACUUUUAGUUGCCUUACUUACCAAAUCCAAAUGCCUAAGCACAGUCACAGAGACCCAGUGCCUUGUCCUUCUUUUGACUAAGUUUAUCUCUAAUGCUACUGAUUUGGCCCUGGUUUGCUUAAGCAAUGGUGUUUACUGUUUUCUUCAAAUAACAUUUUUUUCUCCUUGGACUAAUAGUUCAAGGCUUUCCUCUACAAAGUCUGCCCCGAUUAUCUCCACUCCUACCACUUACCUUUUUUUUUUUCAUGUAAAUAAUAAUCACAAUAGAUGGAUGAGGAGCUAUUACUUUCAUGAUGGCUUAUUGAGGUGGAACCAUCCACCAGAGUGUUGAUGUGAUGUCAUCUAACAUAUUUACCAUCAGCUUCCAAUGAAGUGGAUUGCCCUCUCAAUUCUAAAUGUGACCUUUUCUAUAUAUUAUUCACUAUGAGCCCUAGUUUACUCAUUUGAUAGAUGGAGGCAAUGGCUUCUAGCUACCUCACAGAUUUGUUGUUAUCCAACAACUACCAAUUCUCUGAUUCUCCAGACACUAAUAUAGUGUCUAAAAAUUCAAUUUCAUGGCAAAGGAGAGUUAGAAAGGGCUUUCAGUUAUUAGGUCCCUUAAGAACUGUGUGGAUUGCCAGAAAUCCUCCAGGAUUUGCCUUUGUGGAAUUUGAAGAUCCUAGAGAUGCAGAAGAUGCAGUGUGAAGCCUGGAUGGCAAAGUGACUUGUGGUUCUCGAGUGAGAGUUGAACUAUCAACAGGCAUGCCUCGGAGAUCUCAUUUUGAUAGACCACCUGCCCGAUGUCCCUUUGAUCCCAGUGAUAGAUGCUAUGAGUGUGGAGAAAAGGGACAUUAUGCUUAUGGUUGUCAUCACUAUAGCCAGUGAAGAAGCAGCAGGUCACAGUCUAGAUCAUAUUCGAGAUCCAGCGGUAGGCGAUACGCUCGCUCAUGCAGCAGGAGCAGGAGAAGGAGGUCAAGAUCAGCCUCUCCUCGGCGAUCAAGAUCUGUGUCUCUUCGUAGAUCAAGAUCAGCUUCACUCAGAUGAUCUAGGUCUGGUUCUAUAAAAGGAUCGAGGUAUUUCCAAUCCCAGUCCAGGUUGAGAUCAAGAUCCAGGUCUCUUUCACAACCAAGAAGCAGCCAAUCAAAGACCAGAUCUCCAUCUCCAAAAAGAAGCCAUUCCCCAUCAGAAAGUCCAAGAAGUGCAAGUCCUGAAAGAGUAGAAUAAAGGUUUUAAGUUCACCUUUUUGGGAAAAGUUAUUUUGUUUACAUAAUUGUAAGGGAUUUGUGGUGUCUGUAAUGUGUAAUCUAGGGAAGGGUAUUUCAACCGUCUAAUCAAAAUGGAUCUGGACUAUUACUCUGUAAAUUCACAGCAGUAAGUAAUAUAAAUUUUUGUUGAAUGUAUUAACAUCCUAUGGUCCGAAAAUGUGGGGUUUUAUUUGGCACAUUUAAAUAAAAUGUUUCUAACUAGAAAAAAUAAAAAAAUAAAAUUUCAAUUCCAUUCAAGCACUGUUUACCUGGAAUUGAAUCUCACAAGUUAAAGGGUCUAGUAUCACAAGACUGAUCCUCCCCCAACUUCAGACACCAGUCACAAGUCCUGGGCCUCUCUUACUUCUGACUGACAGACCAUAAUCCGGAGCUCCCAUGACCACCUCCUAGGGUUUAAUACUUUGCUAAACCAACUCACAGAACUCAGGAAAGCAUUUUACUUAGGCUUACCUGUUCAUUAUAAAGUAUACAAGGAACAGUCAGGUGCAGAAGUACAUGGGGUGAUCCAGAAGUGACCCAAGUGGAAGAGCUUCUGUCUCCAUGGAACUGGGGUUCAGUGGCCUCCUGACACAUGGAUGAGUUUGCCAUGUCCAUUCAAAAGCCAUUAGGUCUCCUUGUGCAAGAGACUUAACUCACACCCCUCCCCUUCCUAGAGGUCAGUGGGUGGGUUUCUGAGUUCCAUUCCUCUAAUCAUUUGAUUUUUGGGGAGCUAUCCAGAGGUCCUACCCUAAGUCACCUAAUGAGAAUAAACUAAAGUGUAAUCAAAAGGGGAUCAUUAUGAGUAACAAAAGAUAAUGCUUCUAUCACACAGGAAACCCCCAAGGGUUUUAGGAGCUCUGUACCACAAAUGACCACCAGGGACAAAGACAAAUAUUUUUUAUAUUACCACAUGAUGAUUAAAUGAAACUCUCUCUCUGGAUUUCCUAUAGUGGCUCAGCAGAGACAAAUCUGACUAGCAUCCAUUAGAACAGGUUCAAUCCCUGGCUUUGCUCAGUGGGUUAAGGAUCCAGCAUUGCCAUGAGCUGUGGUGUAGGUUGCAGAUGUGGCUCAGAUCUGGCAUUGCUGUGAUUGUGGAGUAGGUGGUGGUUACAGCUCCGAUUAGACCCCUAGCCUGGGAACCUCCAUAUGCA